rnacentral:rRNA from 1 species
UACGAAGGGGGCUAGCGUUGCUCGGAAUUACUGGGCGUAAAGCGCACGUAGGCGGCUUCUUAAGUCGGUGGUGAAAUCCUGGAGCUCAACUCCAGAACUGUCUUCGAUACUGGGAAGCUCGAGUCCGGGAGAGGUGAGUGGAACUGCGAGUGUAGAGGUGAAAUUCGUAGAUAUUCGCAAGAACACCAGUGGCGAAGGCGGCUCACUGGCCCGGUACUGACGCUGAGGUGCGAAAGCGUGGGGAGCAAACAGG